rnacentral:rRNA from 1 species
GUGAGGAAUAUUGGUCAAUGGGCGAAAGCCUGAACCAGCCAUGCCGCGUGAAGGAAUAAGGCCCUAUGGGUCGUAAACUUCUUUUGACGGGGAGCAAUAAGGUCUACGUGUAGGCCGAUGAGAGUACUCGUCGAAUAAGCAUCGGCUAACUCCGUGCCAGCAGCCGCGGUAAUACGGAGGAUGCGAGCGUUAUCCGGAAUUAUUGGGUUUAAAGGGUGCGUAGGCUGUUUGUUAAGUCAGGGGUGAAAUACCGCAGCUCAACUGUGGAAUUGCCUUUGAUACUAGCAGGCUUGAAUACUGUUGCCGUGGGAGGAAUGAGUAGUGUAGCGGUGAAAUGCAUAGAUAUUACUCAGAACACCGAUUGCGAAGGCAUCUCACGAAGCAGGCAUUGACGCUGAGGCACGAAAGCGUGGGGAUCAAACAGGAUUAGAAACCCUAGUAGUCC